rnacentral:tRNA from 1 species
AGAUAUAAAAAGAACUUCUAAUUCUUAAAAAGCUAAAAAGCUAUAUCUU